UAGUGUUAGAGGGUUUCCGCCCUUUAGUGCUGAAGUUAACGCAUUAAGCACUCCGCCUGGGGAGUACGGCCGCAAGGCUGAAACUCAAAGGAAUUGACGGGGGCCCGCACAAGCGGUGGAGCAUGUGUUUAAUUCGAAGCAACGCGAAGAACCUUACCAGGUCUUGACAUCCUCUGAAAACCCUAGAGAUAGGGCUUCUCCUUCGGGAGCAGAGUGACAGGUGGUGCAUGGUUGUCGUCAGCUCGUGUCGUGAGUGUUGGGUUAANNNNCGCAACGAA
rnacentral:rRNA from 1 species